rnacentral:rRNA from 1 species
UACGUAGGGUGCAAGCGUUAAUCGGAAUUACUGGGCGUAAAGCGUGCGCAGGCGGCUUUGCAAGACAGAUGUGAAAUCCCCGGGCUUAACCUGGGAACUGCAUUUGUGACUGCAUGGCUGGAGUGCGGCAGAGGGGAUGGAAUUCCGCGUGUAGCAGUGAAAUGCGUAGAUAUCUGGAGGAAUACCGGUGGCGAAGGCGGCAUCCUGGACCGAGAUGACACUGAGGAGCGAAAGCCAGGGAGCAAACGGG